CAGAGAGUUGCUCAGAAAAGCAUCCUGACUUGCUGGAAUGAUGUAAAUACACAAACCAAGGCAUUACACACCAUGCAAGGCUCAGUGCAUGGCAAUAGAUUCAGAUACACAGAAGACCGUCAGAGAAGGUGACUGGUUCCUCUUCCUCUGCAGCAUGAGGCCUGAGAUGUCGUGAAGACCAGACACCUCAGCAGGUUUGAACUCAGCCACCGGAGUGCACAGCCAUUUCAGAUUCGUUUCUCUCACGUCUCCAACAACAAAAUACUAACAACCACCAACUGCUGUUGAGCACACACUAUGGUGCCAGGAACUGAUUUAGUGCUUUGCAUACAUUUUCUCAAUUAAUCCUAACUGGAGGCACGGACUAUUAUUAUCUCCGCUUUUCAAAAGUGGAAACACCGGCACAGAGAGAUUAAGCAACUUGCCCAAGGUCACACAAUGACACCGGGACAAUCUUGAAGCCACAUGAUCUCAGAGGCACAUGUGGAAGCAGCCUGGAUCCUGAGCCAUUAUUUGGAGGAAUGUCACCCAAAUGGAGUCACCUGGCCAGGGACAUCAGCUUUGGAUUUUGUGUAAAUGAAAAAUAAAUGUCUAUUUGGUUAAGCCAGAUUGUUUUACCUGCCUUGUGCACACGUUUGUGCUUGUGGGUGUGUGCAUGCCUAUGUGUGGGUGUGUGCAUGUGGCUUAUGCCACAACAUAUAUUUCUUAAUGCAGAUUUUAGUCAAAAACAUGUGAAAGCAAG
rnacentral:lncRNA from 1 species